CAAAGGAGCAAUCCGCUGAAAGAUGGGCUCGCGUCCGAUUAGGUAGUUGGCGGGGCAACGGCCCACCAAGCCGACGAUCGGUAGCCGGACUGAGAGGUUGAACGGCCACAUUGGGACUGAGACACGGCCCAGACUCCUACGGGAGGCAGCAGUGAGGGAUAUUGGUCAAUGGGGGAAACCCUGAACCAGCAACGCCGCGUGAGGGAAGACGGUUUUCGGAUUGUAAACCUCUGUCCUCUGUGAAGAUGAUGACGGUAGCAGAGGAGGAAGCUCCGGCUAACUACGUGCCAGCAGCCGCGGUAAUACGUAGGGAGCAAGCGUUGUCCGGAUUUACUGGGUGUAAAGGGUGCGUAGGCGGCUUUGCAAGUCAGAAGUGAAAUCCAUGGGCUUAACCCAUGAACUGCUUUUGAAACUGCAGAGCUUGAGUGGAGUAGAGGUAGGCGGAAUUCCCGGUGUAGCGGUGAAAUGCGUAGAGAUCGGGAGGAACACCAGUGGCGAAGGCGGCCUGCUGGGCUCUAACUGACGCUGAGGCGCGAAAGCGUGGGUAGCAAACAGGAUUAGAUACCCUGGUAGUCCACGCUGUAAACGAUGAUUACUAGGUGUGGGUGGACUGACCCCAUCC
rnacentral:rRNA from 1 species